rnacentral:rRNA from 1 species
GGAAACGUGGAGACAGCCAGGAUGUUGGCUUAGAAGCAGCCAUCAUUUAAAGAAAGCGUAAUAGCUCACUGGUCCUAUGGUUCUGCGCCGAAGAUUCAACGGGGCUCAAGCCCAUCACCGAAGCAACGGACAAACGAGAGUUUGUGGUAGGGGAGCAUUGUCUCGACCGGUGAAGGCGUCUUGCGAAGGGCGCUGGAGGAAAGACAAGAGCAAAUGCGGACAUAAGUAGCGAAAGACGGGUGAGAACCCCGUCCGCCGAAAACCAAAGGUUUCCCGGGAGUGGGCAAUCCCCUCGGGGUAAGUCGGAACCUAAGGCGAGGCCGAAAGGCGCAGUCGAUGGCAAGCAGGUUGAUAUUCCUGCACCGAAGAUGUGGAGCGACGCAGGGGUGGAGAAGGAUAGUGGAAGCCGGGCAUUGGUUACCGGUCGAAGGUCGUAGGGAGAAGGGGUAGGGAAAUCGCCUCUUUGUUAAACUGAAAACUGACAGCGCAAGUUUCAUGAAUCCAUGCUUACAAGAAAAGCUGCUAAGUGAUGAAGCAUCCUCGUCCGUACCGUAAACCGACACAGGUGGGUUGGUAGGGUAUACCAAGGCGUUUGAGAGAUCCCGGGCAAAGGAACUCUGCAAAUUACUACCGUAACUUAGGGAGAAGGUAGGCUCACAGCAAUGUGAGUGGCACAAAAUAGGGACUAGCGACUGUUUAUCAAAAACACAGGACUCUGCAAAAUCGUAAGAUGAAGUAUAGGGUCUGACGCCUGCCCGGUGCCGGAAGGUUAAAAAGAGAGGUCAGCCGCAAGGUAAAGCCUUGAAUUGAAGCCCCGGUAAACGGUGGCCGUAACUAUAACGGUCCUAAGGUAGCGAAAUUCCUUGUCGGGUAAGUUCCGACCUGCACGAAUGGCGUAACGACUGGUCCGCUGUCUCUGCCCGGUACUCAGCGAAAUUGAAAUGGGGGUGAAAAUGCCCCCUCCCCGCGACAGGACGGAAAGACCCCGUGAACCUUUACUGCAACCUGGCAUUGGGUUUUUGGAUACACUGUGUAGGAUAGGUGGGAGACUUUGAUUCUGCGGCGCCAGCUGCAGAGGAGUCAACGUUGAAAUACCACCCUGUGUGUCUGAAAAUUCUAACCUCGAGCCCCAUUUCGGGCUCAGGAACAGUGUCUGGCGGGCAGUUUGACUGGGGCGGUCGCCUCCCAAACAGUAACGGAGGCGCGCAAUGGUUACCUCAGCCCGGAUAGAAACCAGGCGUCGAGCGCAAGGGCAGAAGGUAGCCUCACUGAUAGACCGACAGGUCGAACAGACACG